rnacentral:rRNA from 1 species
CCUACGGGAGGCAGCAGUGAGGAAUAUUGGUCAAUGGACGAGAGUCUGAACCAGCCAAGUAGCGUGAAGGAUGACUGCCCUAUGGGUUGUAAACUUCUUUUAUAUGGGAAUAAAACGUUCCACGAGUGGGAUUUUGUAUGUACCAUAUGAAUAAGGAUCGGCUAACUCCGUGCCAGCAGCCGCGGUAAUACGGAGGAUCCGAGCGUUAUCCGGAGUGAUUGGGUUUAAAGGGAGCUUAGGUGGAUUGUUAAGUCAGUUGUGAAAGUCUGCGGCUCAACCGUAAAAUUGCAGUUGAAACUGGCAGUCUUGAGGACAGUAGAGGUGGGCGGAAUUCGUGGUGUAGCGGUUAAAUGCUUAGAUAACACGAAGAACUCCGAUUGCGAAGGCAGUUCACUGGACUGCAACUGACACUGAGGCUCGAAAGUGUGGGUAUCAAACAGGAUUAGAUACCCGAGUAGUC